CAUGCUUUACACAUGCAAGUCGAACGAGUAUGGACCUAGCUUGCUAGGGACCCAGCUAGUGGCAGACGGGUGAGUAACGCGUGGGAAUCUACCUAAUAGUACGGAAUAGCCACUGGAAACGGUGAUUAAUACCGUAUACGCCCUGAGGGGGAAAGCUUUAGCGCUAUUAGAUGAGCCCGCGUUGGAUUAGCUAGUUGGUAGGGUAAUGGCCUACCAAGGCGACGAUCCAUAGCUGGUCUGAGAGGAUGAUCAGCCACACUGGGACUGAGACACGGCCCAGACUCCUACGGGAGGCAGCAGUGGGGAAUAUUGGACAAUGGGCGAAAGCCUGAUCCAGCAAUGCCGCGUGAGUGAUGAAGGCCUUAGGGUUGUAAAGCUCUUUUACCCGGGAUGAUAAUGACAGUACCGGGAGAAUAAGCUCCGGCUAACUCCGUGCCAGCAGCCGCCGUAAGAC
rnacentral:rRNA from 1 species